UACGGAGGGUGCAAGCGUUAUCCGGAUUUACUGGGCUUAAAGGGUGCGUAGGCGGGCCUGUAAGUCAGUGGUGAAAUCUUCAAGCUUAACUUGGAAACUGCCAUUGAUACUAUAGGUCUUGAAUUAUCUGGAGGUAAGCGGAAUAUGUCAUGUAGCGGUGAAAUGCUUAGAGAUGACAUAGAACACCCAUUGCGAAGGCAGCUUACUACGGAUUGAUUGACACUGAGGCACGAAAGCGUGGGGAUCAAACAGG
rnacentral:rRNA from 1 species